AGCCUCGAGGUGUUUUGACAUGUUAGAUUGCAAACCUAAAGGAGCGGACUAACUGUCUGCCGGGGCUU
rnacentral:tRNA from 1 species